GAAAUGCGAUAAGUAAUGUGAAUUGCAGAAUUCAGUGAAUCAUCGAAUCUUUGAACGCACAUUGCGCCCGCCAGUAUUCUGGCGGGCAUGCAUGUUCGAGCGUCAUUUCAACCAUCAAGCCCCGCGCUUGUGUUGGGGACCUGCGGCUGCCGCAGGCCCUGAAAACCAGUGGCGGGCUCGCUGUCACACCGGGCGUAGUAGAUUUUAUCUCGCUCAGGGCGUGCUGCGGGUUCCGGCCGUUAAAAAGCCUUUUUUACCCAAGGUUGACCUCGGAUCAGGUAGGAAGACCCGCUGAACUUAAGC
rnacentral:misc_RNA from 1 species